GUGCCAGCAGCCGCGGUAAUACGUAGGGAGCAAGCGUUGUCCGGAAUCAUUGGGCGUAAAGCGCGCGUAGGUGGCUCUAUAAGUCCGUUGUGAAAGUCAAAGGCUCAACCUUUGAAAGCCGAUGGAUACUGUAGAGCUAGAGUCCGGAAGAGGCGAGUGGAAUUCCUGGUGUAGCGGUGGAAUGCGCAGAUAUCAGGAGGAACACCAAUAGCGAAGGCAGCUCGCUGGGACGUGACUGACACUAAGGCGCGAAAGCGUGGGGAGCGAACAGGAUUAGAAACCCCAGUAGUCC
rnacentral:rRNA from 1 species